CAAACCAGUUCGCGACCAGAUGAAUUAUCAAACACCAAAAUACAUUUAAUAUACUCAUAUCGAAAUGCAGCAGAAUAAACCAACCAUUAAAACCGAAUCAAGAGAUGAACAGAUGAAUUAUCAAACACCAAAAUACAUUUAAUAUACUCAUAUCGAAAUGCAGCAGAAUAAACCAACCAUUAAAACCGAAUCAAGAGAUGAAGUUCAAAGGAAAAUCCAACCGUAUCUACAGCGUC
rnacentral:lncRNA from 1 species